CCUACGGGAGGCUGCAGUGGGGAAUAUUGCACAAUGGGCGCAAGCCUGAUGCAGCCAUGCCGCGUGUGUGAAGAAGGCCUUCGGGUUGUAAAGCACUUUCAGCGGGGAGGAAGGCGUUAAGGUUAACAACCUUGGCGAUUGACGUUACCCGCAGAAGAAGCACCGGCUAACUCCGUGCCAGCAGCCGCGGUAAUACGGAGGGUUCAAGCGUUAAUCGGAAUUACUGGGCGUAAAGCGCACGCAGGCGGUCUGUCAAGUCGGAUGUGAAAUCCCCGGGCUCAACCUGGGAACUGCAUUCGAAACUGGCAGGCUAGAGUCUUGUAGAGGGGGGUAGAAUUCCAGGUGUAGCGGUGAAAUGCGUAGAGAUCUGGAGGAAUACCGGUGGCGAAGGCGGCCCCCUGGACAAAGACUGACGCUCAGGUGCGAAAGCGUGGGGAGCAAACAGGAUUAGAUACCCGUGUAGUC
rnacentral:rRNA from 1 species